CGCCGCGCACCUGGCCCGGCCUCUAGGGCCGCGAGCCGAGGGCCCUGGGGAAGUUGCGCUGCCCGGCUCGCCCCGCAGGCACCCGCGGAGCCCCGGGAGAUCCCGGGGGGUUGUCCUCGAGCUGAGCCAGACGCCGGAGAGACCGGGGUCCCCUCCUGUGACUGCGGUGUCCUGACGGUGCCCGAAGUCCUGCGCCCCGGCCCGUGGACACCAAGACCUCUGGAGGCGACAGCCCUGCCGCUGGGACAUAGGUGCAGCUCAGAUGUCUUCCCCAGAAAGCUUUCCCGGAGCCCCUCAUCUGUCCAGCUGCGGCUCCCUGUGCUCCCUCCAAACCUGUGCUGACUGCAAUACCACGAACCCAUCCGCGUCCUCACUGCUGAGGGGGGCCUGGCACACAGUGAGGGCCUUGUCUGGGAGAUGUGGCCUCCCCUGGACCCUGAGCAACUUCAUGCCUGAACUUUAUAUGAAGUGCAAGAUCAGAAUUCUUAGGCCAGCUGGUUUGGUAGUACACACCUGUAAUUCCAGCACUUAGGAGGCUAAGGCAGGGGGAUCAAAAUUUUGAGCCCGGUCUGGCAGAUUUAGCAACUUAGGGAGACCUUGUCUCAAAAUAAAAAGGGCCCACCAGGUGUGGUAACUCACCCCUGUAGUCCCAGCCCUCAGGGGGCUGAGGCAGGAGGAUCGUCAUGAGUUCAAGGCCAGCCUGGGCGCCAUAGUGAGUUCAAGUUCAGCCCGAACUUCAUACUGUCUCAAACCCCACCCCGCAAGAAAGGGCUGGAGAAGUGGCUCAGUGUGAACUCUGGGUUCACUCCCCAGUAUUCCAGGGAAAAGGCAAAUCUUGGGCCAACAUUCCAAGUUGUUGAAAAGCACUGAUAAGGAAGGGGAGAAACACACCUGCCCAGCAUACCGGGCCUCGCCCGUCCUGGUUCCUGAUGCCAGCACCGACAGUCUUUGUCCCCUGGAAGGACAGAAGAUGAGGAGUUGGCCAGCUCCAGGGUGUAUGCCAGGCGGGACAGUGAGGACCUCUGGACUCCGGAAACAGAAGUGGGAAGCACACAGGGUUGAAGCCCAGGGGUCUCAGGCACCGCCGAGACUGCACAGAGGGACAGGAAGGACUCAAGCCUCAGAGCCAGACUCCUCUCGGGCACCUGUGCUGCUCGCCCGGCGCUUCCUCCGUCUCCAGGAACUUCUCUCCCCUUGGACUGGAAGGCCUCAUCAGAGGAGGCUCAGAGGGGUGCAACUUCCCAGAACCCCAGCCAUCGGCUCCGGGCCCAGGACCAAGCACAUGGUGGGAUGUCCGUGUGCCCUCGGGACAGGCACGGGGGAGUAGGCAGAAGGAGGGUGGAGGAGCAGCAGGGGCUUUGGGGCCUCCCAGACCAGCUCUGCCUCUCAGGGGUCCAUGGUUACCCUGCGUCUCCCCUAAGGGGAAGCCCCCACUGCCUCCUGCCCAGCAAGCAGGCCUGCCUCGCCUCUGCCCUAUAGUGAUUCGGCUUCCAAAAGUUGGCCAAAGACAGAGACACCCGAGGCCUCCUAGAAAACAUGCCUAAGAUUGAUUUUAACCCCAAAAGGCCUCAGUUCAAGCCUGCUCCCCCUUUCUUCCCUUUCAGACAAGGAACCGAGGUCUCCAGGGUGAGGGUGCUCAGGGAGUUGGUGACGGGUGACCUGGUGUCCCCAUCCCCACCUCAGGCCUGGCCAAGGCCUUCGGGAGUGUAAAGCAGCACCUUGGGGCCGGGGAAGGAAGGACUCGGAGGCACCUGGGGCCCAUCUCUGCUGCUGGAUCGGUGCUGGGCCCCUGGUCACCCACACUGCUGGGGCGGGCCUCUGGGCAGCUCCCCUCCGCCCUCUCUCACUGGCCUGGAAGGAGGUGAGGGGGAUCAAGCCAUCACGGCCCCCGAGUCCCGCUGCUCCCUCCCCUGCCCAGCUGGAGAGACCCCUGUUUCCACAGCCUCGGCCCUGCAGCAGCCAGGCUCCCAGCAGAGGUGAUGAACACCAGUUCAGCCCUGAGAUGGACUCCAGCACUGCCUCAGGAAGGGGUUAUGAAGCCUUCACCCCUUUCUUUUAUAGUAAACUUAUAGGAUGUUGUGCUUUUCUAACUCCACUUUUUUUUUUCCUUCGGUUUUGUAACUCUUAAGGAACAUCAUCCCUGAAAUUAAACCUAGCACUUCUGUGUGAUCCAGAAGUUUCAUUUCUGGACAGAUACACAAAAAAUUGAAAGCAGGGACUCAAGCAGAUGUUUGUACCCCAUGCCCCUGGCUGCAUUAGUCAUCGUAGCCCAAAGAUGGAAAAGCCCAAAUCCAGAUAAAUGAAUAAACACAAUGGAAUACAUCCA